rnacentral:rRNA from 1 species
UACGAAGGGUGCGAGCGUUGUUCGGAAUUAUUGGGCGUAAAGCGCACGUAGGCGGCCUGGUAAGUCUCACUGUGAAAGCCCGGGGCUCAACCCCGGGAGGCCAGGGGAUACUGCAAGGCUGGAGACAGGUAGAGGCUGGUAGAAUUCCGGGUGUAGCGGUGGAAUGCGUAGAGAUCCGGAGGAAUACCUGAGGCGAAGGCGGCCAGCUGGGCCUGAUCUGACGCUGAGGUGCGAAAGCGUGGGGAGCGAACAGG